rnacentral:lncRNA from 1 species
CCUGCUUCCUGGUAUUCAUGUUGUUGUGUAAAUCCCUCCACUUGAGUGUCGGCUGUACCUAGUGACUGACUUCCAAUGAACAAAAUACAGCAAAAGUGAUGGGAUGUCACUUUUGUAAGUAGGUUAUAAAAUAUUGUGACUAUUCUCUCUCUCUCAAAACCCUCACCCUGAUAAAUCUGGCUGCCAGGUUGUGAGUUGCCCUAUGAGGUGGGACACAUUGCAACAAACUAAGGGAGGCCUUUGGGCAACACCCAGUGAAGAACUGAGGCCUUGGUCCAAUGGCCCAUGAGAAUCCAAAUCCUGCCAACAACCAUGUGUGUAAACUUCGAAGUGGACCUUCUGAGGCCUGCCAACAGCUAUAUGAGCAAGCUUGCAAGCAAAUCCACCCCAGUUGAGCCUUGAGAUGCUACAGUCCCAGCUGACACCUUAAUGCUGCCGGUGAGAGCCGGAGCAGAGGACCCAGUUAGACUGUGCCCAAACUCCUGGCCCACAGAGACUGUGAGAUCGUAAAUAUGUGUUGUUUUAAGCUGAUAAGCUCUGGGGUGAUUGGUUAUGCAGUGAUAGACAACUAAUGCAAAAAGGUAUAAAGAAUAACCUGGUGAAUACUUGUGUAUGGCCCAUGUAGCAUGCAGCCUUAGAAAAAAACAAAUUACAAAGAUACUUAAAGCCCCUUCCUUGUAUUCUACCUUCAUCACUUUCCCCUCCUUCCUCUCCAGAUGCUCUCUGGAACCAGACUGAAAUUGAAAUGCAAGAUAUAUAUAUAUAUAUAUAUAUCACAGAAUCUCUGUCACUAAAUAUUCUCCCAGAGGCAAAGGAGCUGGGAUAUUUACACCCUGACUCUCAUCAUUAAGUGGAUGGCUCUUGGAGGGUAUUUGAACUCUCUCACACAUCUGGACUGCCAAGAACACAGACAUGAUGCUUGGAGCUAUAGCAGCCAUCUCGCAAUCAUGAGGAAAGGCCAAGAGAAUUUCUGAGUCACCAAACCCAGCACUGUUCAGCUGCUGAGCCAAUCCCUACAGCCUCCUAUCUCUAGACCUUGUGCUCUGCCCUUCCACCACCAUGUGAACAAGCCCGGACUAGCCUCCUGGAAGGCACAAGACCACAUGGAGAGAGGACCCAACAAUGCAGCUGCUGCAGCUGAGACGCCAGCCAUGGAGGUGAGGCCAUCCUAGACCUUCCAGCCCUGCUGAGUCAGCUCAGACCUGGCAGUCUGCCCAGCUGACCCACAGGAUCAUGAGAAAGAAUAAGUGUAUGUGUCUGUAAGUCACUAAGUUA